rnacentral:rRNA from 1 species
AAAUUACGCCUUCCAUGAAGCUGGAAUUGCUAGUAAUGGCAGGUCAGCAUACUGCCGUGAAUACGUUCCCGGGCCUUGUACACACCGCCCGUCACACCAUGAGAGUUGGAAAUACCCGAAGCCUGUGAGCUAACUUAAAGAGGCAGCAGUCGAAGGUAGAGCCAAUGAUUGGGGUGAAGUCGUAACAAGGUAAC